GACCAGCUUAACUCAAUUAUUAUGACCCAGAAGGCAUCAUUCCAUGAUGUCAUAGCUUCCAGAAAGCUGCAGCAAUAAUGAGUCAACCCAACAGGGAGACAGAAAGACUUCUUUUUGAUCCUGCCUGAACUGCUCAAGGUACAGCACCCUAGCAGAAGAAGAGACCAGCAUACUGGGGCUCAUUAUAUAUUCAAUAAAACCCUUGUUUAUUUUC